rnacentral:rRNA from 1 species
UACGUAGGGUGCGAGCGUUAAUCGGAAUUACUGGGCGUAAAGUGUGCGCAGGCGGCGCCGCAAGUCGAGUGUGAAAAUCCCCGAGCUUAACUUGGGAAUUGCGCUCGAAACUACGACGCUGGAGUAUGGCAGAGGAAGGUGGAAUUCCACGUGUAGCGGUGAAAUGCGUAGAGAUGUGGAGGAACACCGAUGGCGAAGGCAGCCUUCUGGGCCAAUACUGACGCUCAUGCACGAAAGCGUGGGGAGCAAACAGG